AUUAAAUUUCCGUGCGCUGAAAUUUGAAAACCCCGUUCGAUAGCGUGCCUUUUCCGACGCUUUUUGGCCUGCAUUUUACACAGAGAAAGAUUCCAUCCAAAUUUAUUCGAAUUUCGCUUUAACUUGUUCAAAAAUGACUGAAAAUGGUGUUAAAACAGAAAUGGACCAGGAAGAAGAGGACAACUUGUUACACUCUGAUGAAUACAAAUUCUUGGUAGAAUAUGGCAUUUCAAAAAAAGUGGCUGCUGAACUUGAAAAAAUUUACACUACAGGAAAACUCUCACAUUCAGAACUUGAUGAAAGAGCCUUGGAUGCUCUUAAAGAAUUUAAUCCAGACGAUGCCGUAAAAGUAUUACAACAGUUUACAGAAAGCAGCCUUGAACAUGUGACAAACAAAAGUGCUUUCCUCUGUGGUCAGAUGAAAACAUUCAGACAAAAGAGUAAAGGUGGGGGACCAAAUGCAGCUCCUAAAGGUCCUGACCCAGAUAAAAUUAAAGAAAUCCUUGACAGAUCUGGCUACACACUGGAUGUAACUACAGGUCAGAGAAAGUAUGGUGGACCUCCGCCAGGUUGGGAGGGCAACCAGCCUGGCCCAGGGCAUGAGGUUUUUAUUGGCAAAAUUCCCAAAGAUGUGUUUGAGGAUGAGAUUAUACCACUUGUAGAAGAAUGUGGGAAAGUAUGGGACCUUCGGCUCAUGAUGGACCCCAUGACUGGUUUCAGCAGGGGCUAUGCUUUCUGUACAUUUGUGGAUAAAAAAAGUGCAAAGGCUGCAGUUGAAAAGUUGGAGGGUUACGAAAUUAAGAAGGGUAAAACUCUAAAGGCAAAUAUCUCGAUAGCCAACCAGAGAUUAUUUGUUGGCAACAUUCCAAAGAGCAAGACACAGGAAGAAAUCAAAGAAGAAUUCUCGAAAAGAACAGAGGGUUUAAUUGAUGUGAUCAUCUAUAGAUCUGUGGAGAAAGAUAACCAGAAAAACAGAGGUUUUGCUUUCUUGGACUAUGAUUCACACAAGAGCGCUUCAACAGCCAAAAGGAAGUUAAUGUCUGGUAGAGUGAAAGUAUGGAACUGUGAUAUAAUUGUAGACUGGGCAGAUCCAGUAGAGGAGCCGGAUGAUGAAACUAUGGCUAAGGUUAAAGUACUUUAUGUGAAAAACCUCACAGCUGAUGUUACAGAGGAGACGUUGAAAGAGACAUUUGAGAAACAUGGAGCAGUUGAACGGGUUAAAAAGAUCAAGGACUAUGGCUUUGUCCACUUCGAAGAACGAGAUGGUGCAACAGCAGCUAUGGAAGCUCUCAAUGGAACGACACUAGGAAAGCUGGCUAUUGAAGUUUCUCUUGCAAAACCAGCAGCAGAAAAUAAGAAGAAGCAGCAAAGACAGGCGAGCCGUGAGAUGAGGAUGAUGGGAGGAAUGAGAGGACCUGGAUUUGAUGAUUUCUAUGGGCCACCAGGAGGGAUGAUGCCACGACCUCCACCACUGAUGCGCGGGAUGGGACGUCGUAUGCCACCACCAGAUUAUUUCUAUGAUGACUACUAUGGAUACUACGAUGAUGGAUUUGAUUACUAUGGCGGUUAUGCUCCACCACCAGUUCGUGGACGUGGCGGUCGUGGUGGACCUAUGCCACCAAAACUGAGGAAGGAUACUGCAUCGCACAGGCAUUCUACCAUCUCUUGCCAUCUAAAAAUGCGAGAAAUUCCUAAAAUCUAUUUUAAAAACAAGUUAAUAAAUUUUGACUUAAGAAAACAAAAAAUGAAAAUAGUUAUCGAAAAGUUGUCUAAAACUUCAAAAUAGAGAAAAAAUGUUUUUCUUUUUAUAAAGUUAUCUUGUAUUUUUGAAUAUACUUUUCUAGCCGAGUAUGUUAUAAUCCUGCGAGUCUUUGCUCGAAUUGAGCAAAACAUGUUUAAACUUUGGAUACAUGUUAUUUUUAGAGGACAUCCAAUUUUAUGGAUGUCCUAUUGUGUUCUUAUUUCUUCAUUAAAAUAAUACUGUAAUGUGGCAUGUGGUAAGGGGUUACUACCGAGGUAACCAGCACUGACGAUCGGCAGGAUACCAGACGCUGAUCAGUUAUAAGGUAUGGCUAGUUCAAGUCUCAGCAGAGGUGUUUUGAGAGGAGAGCAACCAGUGUUUAUAGACAUUUAUCAUAACUGCACUUGCUUUCUGUGAAAGACUGACAUUUUAUUUCUUUGAAACACCUUCACAGAAAAGAAAAGCCACAAAAUGUAUACAAAGUAAUUUUUCAUGACCAAAAAUCUGGUUUAAAAUACAAAUAUAUAUUUAGUGUUUCAUUUAAUAGGACAGAAAUUUGUAUGAAAUGAUCAAAUAGAAAUAAAAUUUCAAGUGCA
rnacentral:misc_RNA from 1 species